rnacentral:lncRNA from 12 species
CCUGAGAGAGAGAAAGUAGAGUAAACCAGACUCUACCAAGGGGCUUUCUUUAUCUUCUCUAAACAACCCUCGUACCCACCUUUAUUUAUACACAUCUACCACCCCGCCACUACCAGUGCACCAGCAGCAACAGGAGCAGAGGACCCCUUUCCAUUCUAUCCACUGCUCUCCCAAGAAGGAGGAGAAGAAGGUGGGUCUCACCAUGCGGAACAGCAAGACACUCACAUGCAGUCUAAAGAGCAUCGUACACCAGCGUAUCCUCUCUACCACUACACUGAAAAAAGGAGACUCCCUGGAAGCAGGGACUGCUGGAGGCCACAUGGUCAAAGAGCAACACAGACCCAUCACCCCAAAGAUUUCAAACAACAGUAUCCAGCACAUUCCUGCAGUCUGAUGGGAGUACAGACGUUUUCAUGAGUCCCAUAGCAUCAAGGGAGGACCGGCUAAAGAUGGAUGUACCUGAUCCUCUGCAGCUGCUCCCAGUUACCUGGUGAAAUGUGGUGCCCAGCUCUGGAGAAAAUAUCCACAGAGAGGCGUGAGAAGCCCAAGGAAUGCGGGGAAUACCAGGCCCUCAGGAGCCCUGAGAGGAAAGAGUCUCUGCUCCUGCUGACUCUCCCCCACCCUGCCAGAGUCAGGCACCGCUGAAAAUCCCUGCAAUAUUGCCUUGUGGGGAAGAGGGCGGUAUUGCUAGAGGUGUUAGUACUGUGGAAAACACAUUUCUCCUACCUAGAGCUUUCACCAGUGGAGCAGAAGAUUGAUGACAGCUUGGCAGGAUUCGGGGGAGGAGACUGCUAACUUGACAAAGAAUCUAGUUUGAGUUCUGCUUGCGGCUUCUCAAAUCCCUUGCAUUUACUGCAGGUGUGAACACCUGGCUCAUAGUCUUACUCUCCAGCCUGGCUAUAGAUUUUUCACCCCAUCUAACUUAUUUCCCUCCUCGACAUCUUAUAUCCAUGAAUAUGUGCCUGAAGACUCUGACUAUGUGGUAGAUUGUAAUCCAUACCCUUCCUCCCCUGUACUCGCACCCACAAGUUUCUGCCAGUGUAGUCUUUGUUAACAGUUUUACUUAUUUUUCUAUAUCCUUUCCUUUAUAUGCACAUAUAUCUUUCUCUGUGUCGUUGUCUAAUACGUUCACCUGCCUGGUUAUUUGACUGGGGGACAGACAUUCUUAUUACUGAGAGAGGAAAAGCUACUGCACAAAUGAAACAAAAGCAAAGAAAAUACCCUGCUUGGCUUUUCUGGGCACAUGUAUGUUUACAAACACUUGAUAUACAGUCAUAGGAGAGAGGAUGGAACACCCUCAUCAGGGAUGAUCAAAUGUGUGUCCACAAGGGUGCCCCAAAGUCAUAAUCCAGUUUUAAGCUUACUAAUUUUAGAAACAUAAAAAUAAAAAAGUU